rnacentral:rRNA from 1 species
AGCGAACUUAUCGGAGAUUUCCCUUCGGGGACAGUGGUGACAGGUGGUGCAUGGUUGUCGUCAGCUCGUGUCGUGAGAUGUUGGGUUAAGUCCCGCAACGAGCGCAACCCUUGCCUUUAGUUGCCAGCAUUAAGUUGGGCACUCUAGAGGGACUGCCGAGGAUAACUCGGAGGAAGGUGGGGAUGACGUCAAAUCAUCAUGCCCCUUAUGCUUAGGGCUACACACGUGCUACAAUGGGUGGUACAGAGGGUUGCCAAGCCGCGAGGUGGAGCUAAUCCCUUAAAGCCAUUCUCAGUUCGGAUUGUAGGCUGAAACUCGCCUACAUGAAGCUGGAGUUACUAGUAAUCGCAGAUCAGAAUGCUGCGGUGAAUGCGUUCCCGGGUCUUGUACACACCGCCCGUA